GUUAGUUUCACAUUUAAAUAAUCAAGGUCUAAAUUGUAGUACUUAAAUGGAAGUCAAGGAACAUGGAGAGCAAUGGAGGAAGCAGUAAUCAGCUUGAAAAGAUGUUGAAUCUCUGAUGAGCUUUGAAUAUGUCAGAUUUAGUUAUGUCCUAGAAAGGGAGUUUCCUUGAACAACUGCUAGUCACUUUAAAUUAUUCUGCAUUUCAAACAGGAAAUCAUCCAAUUAGACUAACAGCUGCAGAGAUUGGAAUAAGCCUUGCAUGUGAGAAAAUUAAAGAAAAUGCAGCUGAGUACUAUGCAAAGCAGUGAAGGUCUGAUGGCUGUGAAAAGGGUUAACACUUCAACAUACUGAAGCAAAUUGAGCAUAUGGGAAGAACUGCAGCUGUAAAGCAUCAGCUAGCAAGAAAGCCUGGCCCAUCAGAGAGUCUGGGAUGUGACAAGUCAAAGCGUGAUGGAAACACUGCACUUCCACUGAAGAUCUCACAGCUGCAGUGCAGGGUUUGAGAGAGCUAUCCCCCAUGUAAUAUACUCAGUCUACAGCAGAAUUCAGGACAAGGUGGCUGUGUGAAUCCAGUUAUUUACUUACUCCUGAAAGCCCAGAAGAAAUGAAGAUCACACUGUGUUAGGCACCAGCCUGAGUGGAAAGUACAGAAUCCUCUGUGGAAGUGAAUGAAUAUCAUAUGAAGGAAGCGAGUGAGACAGUCACAGGAACGAAGGACAGCUGAGGUAGGACAGCACCUCUGGAA
ensembl:lncRNA